AUUACCCCCUUGAGGCAAUGCCAGUGUGGAUGGUGUAUCACAUGUGUGUCAGUAGGUGACAGAGAGGAGAGAAGCUAUGUCUAUGAUCAAUGUUCUGACCUAUGAACAUUGAAUGAAUAAUAGUCUAAUAUU